rnacentral:rRNA from 1 species
GAUGAACGCUGGCGGCGUGCCUAAUACAUGCAAGUCGAGCGAACGGACGAGAAGCUUGCUUCUCUGAUGUUAGCGGCGGACGGGUGAGUAACACGUGGAUAACCUACCUAAGACUGGGAUAACUUCGGGAAACCGGAGCUAAUACCGGAUAAUAUUUUGAACCGCAUGGUUCAAAAGUGAAAGACGGUCUUGCUGUCACUUAUAGAUGGAUCCGCGCUGCAUUAGCUAGUUGGUAAGGUAACGGCUUACCAAGGCAACGAUGCAUAGCCGACCUGAGAGGGUGAUCGGCCACACUGGAACUGAGACACGGUCCAGACUCCUACGGGAGGCAGCAGUAGGGAAUCUUCCGCAAUGGGCGAAAGCCUGACGGAGCAACGCCGCGUGAGUGAUGAAGGUCUUCGGAUCGUAAAACUCUGUUAUUAGGGAAGAACAUAUGUGUAAGUAACUGUGCACAUCUUGACGGUACCUAAUCAGAAAGCCACGGCUAACUACGUG